rnacentral:tRNA from 1 species
UGCUCCUGUAGUUCAAUGGAUAGAACAACAGCCUUCUAAGCUGUGGAUCCAGGUUCGAUCCCUGGCAGGGGUAA